GAUGAACGCUAGCGGCAGGCUUAACACAUGCAAGUCGAGGGGCAGCAUGAGGGUUAGCAAUAACUCUUGAUGGCGACCGGCGCAAGGGUGCGUAACGCGUGAGCAACUUGCCCGUUUCUGGGGCAUAACCGGUGGAAACGCCGACUAAUUCCCCAUAGUUUUGAUUCCAGGCCUCUGUUGUCAAUUAAAGAAUUUCGGAAACGGAUAGGCUCGCGUGACAUUAGCUAGAUGGCGGGGUAACGGCCCACCAUGGCGACGAUGUCUAGGGGUUCUGAGAGGAAGGUCCCCCACACUGGAGCUGAGACACGGUCCAGACUCCUACGGGAGGCAGCAGUGAGGAAUAUUGGUCAAUGGUCGAGAGACUGAACCAGCCAUGCCGCGUGAAGGUGACGGCCCUAUGGGUCUUAAACUUCUUUUGUAAGGGAGCAAUAAGUCUUACGUGUAGGAUGAUGAGAGUACCUUACGAAUAAGCAUCGGCUAACUCCGUGCCAGCAGCCGCAGUAAUAC
rnacentral:rRNA from 1 species